rnacentral:rRNA from 1 species
UACGGGGGGUGCGAGCGUUGUCCGGAAUCACUGGGCGUAAAGGGCGCGUAGGUGGUCUGAUAAGGGUGUGGUGAAAGCCCGGGGCUCAACCCCGGGUCGGCCGUGCCGACUGUUAGACUAGAGUGCUGUAGGGGCAGGCGGAAUUCCGGGUGUAGCGGUGGAAUGCGUAGAGAUCCGGAGGAAGACCGGUGGCGAAGGCGGCCUGCUGGGCAGAUACUGACACUGAGGCGCGAAAGCGUGGGGAGCAAACAGG